GGCUCUUUGAAAAGAGUAGAUAAAGAGUCGGACCUGCCCAGUGAAAAUUUUCAACGGCCGCGGUACUCUGACCGUGCAAAGGUAGCAUAAUCAUUUGCCUUAUAAUUGAAGGCUUGUAUGAAUGGUUUGACAAGAAUAUAGCUGUCUCUGUGUAAUUUUAUAGAAUUUUAUCUUAAAGUGAAGAAGCUUAAAUAGUAUUAAUAGACAAGAAGACCCUAUCGAGCUUGAAAUAAGGUUAUUAGAAGAUAUUAAAUAGAUUUUAAAAAAUUGUCUGUAAGAAAUUUUGGUUGGGGCGACUUAGGAACAGGAAAAGCUUCCUAAAUUUAUAAAUAAGCAAAUUGAUCCAAGAUGUUUUGAUUAAAGAAAUUAGUUACCGUAGGGAUAACAGCAUUAUCUUCUUUAAGAGUUCUAAUCGAAAAGAGGGUUUGUGACCUCGAUGUUGGACCAGAAUGUCCUAAAGAUGCAGCAGUCUUUAAGGGUUGGUCUGUUCGACCAUUAAAAUUCU
rnacentral:rRNA from 1 species